rnacentral:tRNA from 1 species
GCACCCGUAGCUCAGCUGGAUAGAGCGUUGCCCUCCGAAGGCAAAGGUCACACGUUCGAAUCGUGUCGGGUGCGC